GAAACUUCAUAAAUCUUUAUUCAAUCUUUAUUUCUUCACAUAGUUUAAUAUACAGAUUUUCUUAUAAUCACAGUCAUUAAUAUAUAUUCAUAAUUCUCUUUAUUCAUUCAACAUAUAACCUGACACGUGUCGCAUGUAUGAAUCAUUAACGGAUUUCAAGUUUUCCUUUGGCACCUAAGUAAGCGUUUCAGAAACAUCUUUCAUCUUAUUUAAGACAAUAAUCGUUGAUAAAAUUUCUAGCAAGUUCGAAAGUCACGAAUCGCGCAUAGCCCGUGAUUUAUGGCCAUUCUUAACUCGUUCUGGUGUCUGAUUAAGCUCAUAUAUCGUCAUCUCAUCAGUGACGUUUCUGGUAUGAAGUUAAUUUGGGAAACGGGUGAUUUUCCUCAUUAAGAUGAAUGUAUACUCAUUCCGGUGUCAUUUUGGCAAUGUUUUCGCGUUGAAUAUUCCCUAAAUUAUCAUUCGAAUAUUACGUAGAUCAAUUAGACUCUGCUCUAAAAUGAUAAUUAGAAUUUGAUUUUCGUUUAACGAGAAAAAUUUAGAAAAGUUUUGGUAUAUUAAAAAUUUAUGAUAUCUUAUCUUGUGAUUAAAAUAUUUUGAAUAAUAAUUUAUUUAUAUGUUAAUUGAUAUUUUGAAAACUUUACUUGCAAUUUAUAAAUUUUAUAACCUAUAACCAAUACGUCUUGAAAUAUCAAAUAUUCUACAUUCGCUCUAAUUAAACAAUUCUUCUUCAUCUUUUGUUCACUGACCCACGCAACAGAUCAUACUCGCCAUUCAUUCAAUAUGAAUCAUGAAUCAUUUCGAUUCUAAACAGCCGAUCCACAAACGCUGGGUGUAUUCCCGGCGCUAUUGAAAAACCGAGAAUUCUGACGCAUCGUAGGUAAAUUUAGUGCAACGUCCUCGAAAGAACGCUACAAGCCGUACGAUGCGAUUCGUAUCGAGUUAUAGUUCGUUGUUAUUAACGUUGUCGCUGACGUAGCCAUUCAUUGAUCGCGGCUGACGACGCAGAAACGGAUCUAAUUCGGAUUUUCCGGUGCAGAUUCGGUGGAUGCUCCUUUUACGGUUCCAUGGGUAGCUAUUAGCCUGAGACUUUGGAACUCGCCCGAGACGUCACGCUAAAAGAAGAAUGAGAAAAGACCAGAAGUGUAUAAAAAAGAAUCAAAGGAUAAUGGAUAAAGGAUGAGAAAACAGGAUGAAUACUGAAGUUACUCUAACGUAACACGCAAAAUCACGUUGUAAACUUGUAUAAGAUAUAAAUAAAUAAUUCCAGAGAAUUUCAUACGAAUCGAACUUUUUUUAAAAUCAAAUCAUUUUUAGAGAAGGAAUUUUUAAUUCAUCUAACUGCGCAGCAAAUUCAACGGACAUCUGGCAGCCAACAUCGAAUCAAGUAAUUAGGCGAAUCCGAGUCAAGUUGAUUACGUAAUCAUAGCAGAUUCGAGUCAAAAUUUCAUAAGAUGACAAUUCAAACGACGAAAUAAGCGAAUUCCUUCCUGAAAAAAAGUAUCACUCGUUAUAAAUAAGUUUUUAGAAGUUUGGGAUGUCUCACAGAAAAAGCUCGGUCAUCUAUUUUGCAGAAUGGUAUAUAAGUUUCUAGCAUUUUUCAAAUUGUUUCUUGGUUAACCGUAAUUAUUUAUAGAUAGGAGCAAUCUUGAUUGAGAAGAGAAAUUAUAUUAACGAAAUCACUAAUCAGAGAAUAAUUUUUCCAUGCAAAUAUAAAUAAGGAAAUGAAUUAUAUGAAGGUGUUGGAAAGUAUCAUCAUCUUGAAAAUUUGAAAAAGGUUAACAUGUAUUGAAGAAGGAUAAAGAUAGGUAAGAAUUGGCUGCUCGCGCCAUCUCUUAAAGAAUAACAAUAUUUCUUCGAAAUUAGAAGGAUGAUAAAGUAGGAUAAGAAUUAAAUGUUCGUGCUAUUAUGAAUGCCAAAAAUAUUUUAAUAUCAGGAAUAUUCAAGAAAUGACGUUAACGAUUAAUUUUUAUCUAUAUCUAUCCUUUUUAUACUAUUACUUUCUUUAUUUAUAUAUUUCAUUUGUGUCAUAUAUUUUGAAGAUGGCACGGAUCUGUAAUUUUUAUUGUAUCUCUAAUUCUUUUCAUACAAUUUAUUUUUUUUUGUUUAUACUUGUUAAUAUAGACAAAAGUUAUUAUUAUAUAAUAAAUUAAUUAGUUUUAAUUAAGUAACAAUUAAUAAUUAAUUUAUUAAUGAAUAAUAUUCAAUUUCACUUUAUGCAAACUUUCACUCAUGCAAAAUAAAGAGAAAAAUAUAUAAAUAUUUUUUCUGGAGCAAUAUCUUUAUUUUCCUGCGAAUACAGAUUCAUUACGUGUAUGUAUAUUUAUAUAUAUAGUAUUUGUCUUAACAAUAUGUUCAUAAAUAUAUGAAUAUAACAUUUACAUGCGUUUCCCUUUUUUUCGUUUUUAUUUUGUUCAAAUAUACAUAAAUAAUUCUAAUCGAUAUUCGACGAACGACGAUUAAAUCAUCACAUUGAUAGAAUAUGAAUAGAUAUACAUUAAUAAAAAAGAGAAACAUGUUAUAUUAAAACAGAGUAUAAUGAGACUAGUGUCAAUCGUUCAAUUUAUUUAUUGAUUACGAUCAAUAUUUCUUUUUUUUUUUUUUUUUUUUUUUUUUUUUUUAUUAUAUUUUUCUUCAAAUCUGUCAUAUUCACUUCAGUUUAUUAUAUUAAAAUUAAUUUCAAUGAUGAAUAUUUUGAGUUUUACAAAUUUUACCUUUUUUCCAGCUUAUUCAAAACACUUGUUUCUUUUUAAUUUUUAAUUUAAAAAAAUUUAAAUUAUUGUUAUUAUUUAAUUAAAAAAUUCUUAAAAAUUAUUUUAAGUUGAAUAAAAAUUUAAUUUUUAUAUUUUUGAUAAAUAUUAUCUUUUUAUCAAAUUUUGAAAUAAAUGACUUAUCUAUUUCGUAAACGUCGAAGAUCGAAUAAUCCAAUUAUAAUAUUAUUAAGAAAUUUUAUAUACCGGUGUAAUUUAUCUUCCUCAAUCAGAGAAAUUAUAAUUAAAGUAUUCAUAAUAAAAAAAA